rnacentral:rRNA from 1 species
GGGUUGUGAGGUUAAGCGACUAAGCGUACACGGUGGAUGCCCUGGCAGUCAGAGGCGAUGAAGGACGUGCUAAUCUGCGAAAAGCGUCGGUAAGGUGAUAUGAACCGUUAUAACCGGCGAUGUCCGAAUGGGGAAACCCAGUGCAAUUCGUUGCACUAUCGUUAACUGAAUACAUAGGUUAACGAGGCGAACCGGGGGAACUGAAACAUCUAAGUACCCGAGGAAAAGAAAUCAACCGAGAUUCCCCAGUAGCGGCGAGCGAACGGGGAGCAGCCCAGAGUCUGAAUCAGCUUGUGUGUUAGUGGAACGGUCUGGAAAGUCCGACGGUACAGGGUGAUAGUCCCGUACACCAAAAUGCACAGGUUGUGAACUCGAAGAGUAGGGCGGGACACGUGGUAUCCUGUCUGAAUAUGGGGGGACCAUCCUCCAAGGCUAAAUACUCCUGACUGACCGAUAGUGAACCAGUACCGUGAGGGAAAGGCGAAAAGAACCCCGGCGAGGGAGUGAAAAAGAACCUGAAACCGUGUACGUACAAGCAGUGGGAGCACCUUCGGGUGUGACUGCGUACCUUUUGUAUAAUGGGUCAGCGACUUAUAUUCUGUAGCAAGGUUAACCGUAUAGGGGAGCCGCAGGGAAACCGAGUCUUAACUGGGCGUUAAGUUGCAGGGUAUAGACCCGAAACCCGGUGAUCUAGCCAUGGGCAGGUUGAAGGUUGGGUAACACUAACUGGAGGACCGAACCGACUAAUGUUGAAAAAUUAGCGGAUGACUUGUGGCUGGGGGUGAAAGGCCAAUCAAACCGGGAGAUAGCUGGUUCUCCCGAAAGCUAUUUAGGUAGCGCCUCGUGAACUCAUCUUCGGGGGUAGAGCACUGUUUCGGCUAGGGGGUCAUCCCGACUUACCAACCCGAUGCAAACUACGAAUACCGAAGAAUGUUAUCACGGGAGACACACGGCGGGUGCUAACGUCCGUCGUGAAGAGGGAAACAACCCAGACCGCCAGCUAAGGUCCCAAAGUCAUGGUUAAGUGGGAAACGAUGUGGGAAGGCACAGACAGCCAGGAUGUUGGCUUAGAAGCAGCCAUCAUUUAAAGAAAGCGUAAUAGCUCACUGGUCGAGUCGGCCUGCGCGGAAGAUGUAACGGGGCUAAACCAUGCACCGAAGCUGCGGCAGCGACACUAUGUGUUGUUGGGUAGGGGAGCGUUCUGUAAGCCUGCGAAGGUGUGCUGUGAGGCAUGCUGGAGGUAUCAGAAGUGCGAAUGCUGACAUAAGUAACGAUAAAGCGGGUGAAAAGCCCGCUCGCCGGAAGACCAAGGGUUCCUGUCCAACGUUAAUCGGGGCAGGGUGAGUCGACCCCUAAGGCGAGGCCGAAAGGCGUAGUCGAUGGGAAACAGGUUAAUAUUCCUGUACUUGGUGUUACUGCGAAGGGGGACGGAGAAGGCUAUGUUAGCCGGGCGACGGUUGUCCCGGUUUAAGCAUGUAGGCUGAUUGUCCAGGCAAAUCCGGAUAAUCAAGGCUGAGGUGUGAUGACGAGGCACUACGGUGCUGAAGUAACAAAUGCCCUGCUUCCAGGAAAAGCCUCUAAGCAUCAGGUAACAUUAAAUCGUACCCCAAACCGACACAGGUGGUCAGGUAGAGAAUACCAAGGCGCUUGAGAGAACUCGGGUGAAGGAACUAGGCAAAAUGGUGCCGUAACUUCGGGAGAAGGCACGCUGGUGUGUAGGUGAAGUCCCUGCGGAUGGAGCUGAGACCAGUCGAAGAUACCAGCUGGCUGCAACUGUUUAUUAAAAACACAGCACUGUGCAAACACGAAAGUGGACGUAUACGGUGUGACGCCUGCCCGGUGCCGGAAGGUUAAUUGAUGGGGUUAUCCGUAAGGAGAAGCUCUUGAUCGAAGCCCCGGUAAACGGCGGCCGUAACUAUAACGGUCCUAAGGUAGCGAAAUUCCUUGUCGGGUAAGUUCCGACCUGCACGAAUGGCGUAAUGAUGGCCAGGCUGUCUCCACCCGAGACUCAGUGAAAUUGAACUCGCUGUGAAGAUGCAGUGUACCCGCGGCAAGACGGAAAGACCCCGUGAACCUUUACUAUAGCUUGACACUGAACAUUGAGCCUUGAUGUGUAGGAUAGGUGGGAGGCUUUGAAGCGUGGACGCCAGUCUGCGUGGAGCCAACCUUGAAAUACCACCCUUUAAUGUUUGAUGUUCUAACGUUGGCCCCUGACCGGGGUUGCGGACAGUGUCUGGUGGGUAGUUUGACUGGGGCGGUCUCCUCCCAAAGCGUAACGGAGGAGCACGAAGGUUAGCUAAUCCUGGUCGGACAUCAGGAGGUUAGUGCAAUGGCAUAAGCUAGCUUGACUGCGAGCGUGACGGCGCGAGCAGGUGCGAAAGCAGGUCAUAGUGAUCCGGUGGUUCUGAAUGGAAGGGCCAUCGCUCAACGGAUAAAAGGUACUCCGGGGAUAACAGGCUGAUACCGCCCAAGAGUUCAUAUCGACGGCGGUGUUUGGCACCUCGAUGUCGGCUCAUCACAUCCUGGGGCUGAAGUAGGUCCCAAGGGUAUGGCUGUUCGCCAUUUAAAGUGGUACGCGAGCUGGGUUUAGAACGUCGUGAGACAGUUCGGUCCCUAUCUGCCGUGGGCGCUGGAGAAUUGAGGGGGGCUGCUCCUAGUACGAGAGGACCGGAGUGGACGCAUCACUGGUGUUCGGGUUGUCAUGCCAAUGGCACUGCCCGGUAGCUAAAUGCGGAAGAGAUAAGUGCUGAAAGCAUCUAAGCACGAAACUUGCCCCGAGAUGAGUUCUCCCUGAGACUUUAAGUCUCCUGAAGGAACGUUGAAGACGACGACGUUGAUAGGCCGGGUGUGUAAGCGCAGCGAUGCGUUGAGCUAACCGGUACUAAUGAACCGUGAGGCUUAACCUUACAACGCCGAAG